rnacentral:rRNA from 1 species
AAGCCAACGCUUGAAACUUAAAGGACCUGGCGGUACUCUAUAUCAGCCUAGAGGGGCCUGCUCAGUAAUCGAUAAUCCACGAAAAACCUCGCCAUCUCUUGCCAUCAGCCUAUAUACCGCCGUCCUCAGCACAUUUCACAAAAAAUGAAGCUAAAUAGUCUCACACACUAACACGUCAGGUCAAGGUGUAGCUCAUGAGGUGGAUAGCGCGGACCACAAUACCACAACGCACAAAAAUCUUAUUGAAACAUAAGAUGGAAGACGAAUUUAGCAGUAAGCGAAUAGAAUGCCCCGCUGAACCAGACACGCCCUAGAGUACGCACACACCGCCCGUCAUCCCCUUCAAUAAAUAAAAGGGGCAAGUCGUAACAUGGUAAGUGCACCAGAAGGUGUACUUGGAAGACCAAAAAGUAGCUUACACCAAAGCACUCACCCUACAAGUGAAAGCCGUUACAACUAACC